rnacentral:rRNA from 1 species
UACGGAGGAUGCGAGCGAUAUCCGGAUUUAUUGGGUUUAAAGGGUGCGCAGGCGGAUUUUUAAGUCAGCGGUCAAAUCGUGGGGCUCAACCCCGGCGAGCCGUUGAAACUGGCUGUCUUGAGAUGUCGAGAGGUAUGCGGAAUGCGCAGUGUAGCGGUGAAAUGCAUAGAUAUCACGCAGAACUCCGAUUGCGAAGGCAUCUCACGAAUCCGCUAUUGACGCUGAUGCACGAAAGCGUGGGUAUCAAACAGG